rnacentral:rRNA from 1 species
AAUCAACGCUGGCGGCGUGCCUCAGACAUGCAAGUCGAACGAUUAAAGCUCUCUUCGGAGAGUGCAUAGAGUGGCGCACGGGUGAGUAACACGUAAGUAAUCUACCCUCGAGUGGGGAAUAACGUCCGGAAACGGACGCUAAUACCGCAUAAUGCAGCGGCACCGCAAGGUGACAGUUGUUAAAGGAGAAAUUCGCUUGAGGAGGAGCUUGCGGUAGAUUAGCUAGUUGGUAAGGUAAUGGCUUACCAAGGCUACGAUCUAUAACCGGUCUAAGAGGACGGUCGGUCACACUGACACUGAAUAACGGGUCAGACUCCUACGGGAGGCAGCAGUCGGGAAUUUUGGGCAAUGGGGGAAACCCUGACCCGGCAACGCCGCGUGAAGGAUGAAGUAUUUCGGUAUGUAAACUUCGAAAGAAUAGGAAGAAUCAAUGACGGUACUAUUUAUAAGGUCCGGCUAACUACGUGCCAGCAGACGCGGUAAUACGUAGGGACCAAGCGUUGUUCGGAUUUACUGGGCGUAAAGGGCGCGUAGGCGGCGCUGUAAGUCACUUGUGAAAUCUCCGGGCUUAACUCGGAACGGCCAAGUGAUACUGCAGUGCUAGAGUGCAGAAGGGGCAAUCGGAAUUCUUGGUGUAGCGGUGAAAUGCGUAGAUAUCAAGAGGAACACCUGAGGUGAAGACGGGUUGCUGGGCUGACACUGACGCUGAGGCGCGAAAGCCAGGGGAGCAAACGGGAUUAGAUACCCCGGUAGUCCUGGCCCUAAACGAUGAAUACUUGGUGUCUGGAGACUUAAUGCUCCGGGUGCCGUCGCUAACGUUUUUAGUAUUCCGCCUGGGGAGUACGCUCGCAAGAGUGAAACUCAAAGGAAUUGACGGG